rnacentral:ncRNA from 1 species
CCCGCUGAAUUUAAGCAUAUUAGUUAGCGGAGGAAAAGAAACUAACCAAGAUUCCCUCAGUAACGGCUAGUGAAGAGGGAAGAGCCCAGCGCCGAAUCCCCGCCCCAUGGUGGGGCACGGGAAAUGUGGCUUAGGGAAGACCCACUCCUCGGCACUGCUCGUGGGGGGCCCAAGUCCUUCUGAUCGAGGCCCAGCCUGUGUGGACGGUGUGAGGCGGAUAGAACCCCUGGCGUGAUGGGCCCGGGUCUUCCGGAGUCGGUUUGUUGGGAAUGCAGCCCAAAGUGGGUGGUAAAUUCCCCGCUAAACUCUAAGGCUGAGUAACUGCAUGAGACUGAUAGCCAACAAGUAUCAUAAGGGAAAGUUGAAAAGAACUUUGACGAGAGUUCAAGAGGGCCUGAAACCAUUAAGAGGUGUAAUGGGUGGAGUCUGCCCAGUCCGCCCUGAUGAUUCAACCUGGCGG